GCAACCUGGUUGAUCCUGCCAGUAGUCAUAUGCUUGUCUCAAAGAUUAAGCCAUGCAUGUCUAAGUAUAAACAACUUUAUACUGUGAAACUGCGUACAGCUCAUUAUAUCAGUAAUAAUUUCUUUGAUGGUACCUUACUACAUGGAUAACCGUAGUAAUUCUAGAGCUAAUACAUGCGUAAAGUCCUGACUCUC
rnacentral:rRNA from 1 species